AUGGCUUUGCUUUGUGCGAAAACCAGCAUCCCCUUUAGCUUCACUGACGACUCCAGUCGUAGUGUGGCGGACAUGUUCCCCAAUUCUGCCAGCGCUUUAAAGACUUUCGGUGGAGGCACCCGACUCUCCGUUGGAAGUAACAGUCAGCCCACCCUGACAAUCCUGCCCCCCUCCAGUGAGGAGCUGCAGCAGGGGAAGGCCACACUCAUGUGCCUGGCCAAUAAGGGUUUCCCCUCAGACUGGAAGCUGAGCUGGGAGGUGGAUGGUAGCAGCAGGAGUUCAGAGGUCACUGUGAUCCCUGGGGUCCUGCUGAAGGACGGCACCUACAGCUGGACCAGCACCCUGACCCUCAGCACUGACCAGUGGAGGAAGGCAGGGUCAGUGACCUGCCAGGCCACCCAGAGCUCUCAGAGUCCAGUCAGCAAGACACUGAAGACAGACCAGUGCUCUGAGGAGUGA